UUACAUCCCAGCUCCUUUGGUCUAACAGGGGUGAUCUGAGCCGGAUCACCCCUACAGAUCACCCCAGUUUGAGUUUCUUUGUUAUGCAUGCUUUCCUUUGUUCUGUAACAUUUUGGCGGGAAUGUCAAAUCCACUAUAAAACUUAUGAUUAAUUAUACGGAGAAGACUAUCUAUCAAAAUUCACGUAGAAAAAAUCCAGUGUAUAUGCUGGGAUUCGAAAUCAAGACCUUUAGCAUAUCAAGCCACGACACAUACCACUACUCCAGGACGACUGGAUACGAAUUAAUAGUAAUUUGACAUACUUAAAGGAAGCA
rnacentral:lncRNA from 1 species